CCACUCUCGUCUCCAUAGCGACUGUACACAGUUUGCGGUUGACUUGUUGUUAACAGCUAAUGCUAAUGCUAAUGCUAGUUGUUCAACGACGAAGACACCACCAAAAAUAACAGCACAACAACUUUGUUGGUGGCGACUUACUGAUCCAGCGCUUACCGGCCACCGAAGGAGAUGCCUUUGCUAGUGACAGACCACUCCUGGACCCAGACACAGUCCAUGGUCUACAUUAGCGUCCCCCUGAAAGGAGCCAAGAAGGUGGACGUGUUGUCAUCAGACGAGUACCUGAAGGUUCAUUUCCCGCCUUUUCUAUUAGAGGUCUUCCUGUCUGAACUUGUUGACGAUGAUCAAAGCUCAGCAAAGAUUGGAAAUGGGGUAGCAGUCAUCAGUUUGUCAAAGAGGACCAAUAAACUGUGGGAGCAUCUAGCAAUAAGCACAUAUGAUAAAGAAACAAAAAAGGAAAUUAGACUCAGAGCACUGUCCAAAAUGCAGGAAAAGCUUGCUGCAGAAGCCCAAACCAAAUCGGAAAAAAAGCAUAAGGAGAAGAAGUAUACUCUGAAGACAAUGAUGAAUAUUGAAAAGGAUGAGCGAGAAAAAAUCCAGAAAAUGAAGGACGACGAAAGAAAGUCAACCACUGCUGAACUAGAAGCGUGGCAAAUGAAGGAGAAGAAGAAAGACGAGGAAGGAGCGAGACUAAAAGUCCAGAGCCGGACAGCCAAUCAAAAUCAAAUAAAAGCUCCUAAAGAGAACUUUGACGGAGGCAGGUCACGUGAAUCAAACGUCAUAUUUGAUCAAAGUAGUAGAAACAAAGACGAGGGCAAGAAAAAACACGUAGCUCUUCCUGCUCCAAGAAUUCCGGGAAACAUAGAGGUCUCGUUCACUCCUCGAGUUUUCCCCACAGCCCUCAGAGAGUCAAUGGUUGCUGAGGAAGAGGAGUGGCUGAAAAAACAAGCAGAGGCCAGACGAACAGUUAAUGCAGAUGUGGAGGAGCUGAACGACUUAAGGGAGGAAGAGAGAAAUCCUGAUUGGUUGAAAGAGAAAGGAAACAAAUGUUUUGCAGCCGGAAACUACCUUGGUGCUCUGAAUGCCUACAACCUGGCUAUCAGGCUCAACAAAAAAAUCCCAGCUCUGUAUUCAAACAGGGCUGCGUGUCAUCUGAAGUUACGAAACCUUCACAAGGCCAUCGAGGACUCCUCGAAGGCCCUUGAACUGCUGACUCCAGCAGUUUCUGCCAAUGCUGCGGCCCGAGCCAGAGCACACGUGCGACGAGGGUCUGCUUUCUGCCAAUUAGAGCUUUAUACGGAAGGUCUGAAAUGCACCACAUUAAAUUGGAGUCUUAUUAUCAAACCAUACCAAAUCCACAUACAAGUACAUUUCAAUCAUUUGGAAUAUGGUGCAAAUGUUAUUUGAUUUGAGGUUAAUUCAAUUCGGACCGAUUAAAAGCUAAAAAAAGUUUUUGCAGUUCAUUUACUGAUUAGAGCCCGAAACAUUGGUUUACAAUAUAUACAUUUUUAACACGAUUCCAAUUUAAGAAAUACUGAUUUGUUGUUUUGUUUUUAUUCAAUUUAACAUACAAUCAUCAUGAAGAAAUUAAGAAAUACAUUUUUGAAAUAUUUAACUUCUCUAUGGUAUACCCUCCUGUGUACAAGUGUCCUGUGCAGUUGACAUUUACUUUGUCAAAGUUACAAAAAAAACCCCACAAAUGUCCACUGCAGAGAACACUGGCACUCUGGAGGAUGGAAGAGUUUUGAAAUGAACUACUAACAUAGAAUAACUUUUCGAAGAUGAUCUAACUUACUGAGCAGAAAACCGGCAUUAAUAAUCUACUAAACAUAUUUUUUUUCUCAUAAGUACCUCGGAACCUGUAUGUAAAUGUAAGUACCCAACUGCUAUUUUAUUUUACACUAAUUACUUUAUUUAGGUAAAAAAAACACUCCUGUAAUGGAACUCAGCUGCUGUUGAAUGGAACACUCGCCAAUAAAACACCAUAGAAUAAAAACACCAUAAUUUAACAAAAAUGAUUCCUAUUAUUAGUCUGUUUUUUAGUAAUAAUAAUAGUAAAUAGUUCUAAUUUCUUGCAAGAACCUACUGUUCUCCAAAUCAACACAAAGCUUCUUAGUGCUUGUGGUUACAACAUGAAAUAACGCACAUGAAAAGAGUGCAACCAUGUAGUAGCCAACUAUUCAAACCUUAUGCUUAUUAGUGAUUCCCAGAGCCCAAAAAAAGUCUGCGGGCUGUAGAGCGUUUUCUAUUCGGGCUCCAGCACUAUGGAAUGCCCUCCCGGUAACAAUUAGAGAUGCUACCUCAGUAGAAACAUUUAAGUCCCAUCUCAAAACUCAUUUGUAUACUCUAGCCUUUGAAUAGCCCCCCUUUUUUUAGACCAGUUGAUCUGCCGUUUCUUUUCUUUUCUCCUCUGCUCCCCCCUAUCCCUUGUGGAGGGGAAGACACACAGAUCCGGUGGCCAUGGAUGGGGUGCUGGCUGUCCGGGGUCGGGACCCGGGGUGGACCGCUCGCCUGUAUAUUGGUUGGGAACAUCUCUGCGCUGCUGACCCGUCUCCGCUCGGGAUGGUUUCCUGCUGACCCCACUGUGGACUGGACUCUUACUGUUAUGCUGGAUCCACUAUGGACUGGACUCUCACAAUAUUAUGUUAGACCCACUCGACAUCCAUUGCAUUCGGUCUCCCUAGAGGGGGGGGGUUACCCACAUAUGCGGUCCUCUCCAAGGUUUCUCAUAGUCAUUCACAUCGACGUCCCACUGGGGACUCCAAGAAUACCAAGCUGCCCUGAAGAUUGACCCGAACAAUGAAACACUGCAGGCUGACACACAAAAAAUCAGGGACAUCAUAC